rnacentral:rRNA from 1 species
GUAGGUGGCAAGCGUUGUCCGGAAUUAUUGGGCGUAAAGCGCGCGCAGGCGGUUUUUUAAGUCUGAUGUGAAAGCCCACGGCUCAACCGUGGAGGGUCAUUGGAAACUGGAGAACUUGAGUACAGAAGAGGAAAGCGGAAUUCCACGUGUAGCGGUGAAAUGCGUAGAGAUGUGGAGGAACACCAGUGGCGAAGGCGGCUUUCUGGUCUGUAACUGACGCUGAGGCGCGAAAGCGUGGGGAGCAAACAGGGAUUAGGUACCCUGGUAGUCCACGCCGUAAACGAUGAGUGCUAAGUGUUAGGGGGUUUCCCGCCCCUUAGUGCUGCAGCUAACGCAUUAAGCACUCCGCCUGGGGAGUACGCCGCAAGGCUG